CUUUUGCACUAUAAAGGACUUUUAAUUCAACAUCGAGGUCACAAACUUAUUUGUCAAUUAGAACUUUCUAAAUAAAUUAAGCUGUUAUCCCUAAAGUAACUUAUUCUUCUUUUAAAAUUUUUAGAUAUUAAGAUUUAAUGUCUUUUAAUUCAGAAAAAGAUUCAUUUUCCUCCACCGCCCCAGUAAAAUACCUUUCCUCUUACCUAAAAGAGAAAUAGAUAUAAAGUUUUAUAGGGUCUUCUCGUCUUUAAGAAAUAUUUUAGCCUUCUUACUAAAAAGUUAACUUCAUCUUCUUUACCUUAAAAAAAACUUUUCCAGUUUACCCUUUCAUUCCAG
rnacentral:rRNA from 1 species